AAUCCCAUUUACCAUGUAUAUCUCCUGUUUAUUAAACAGCACUUUAACACAAUAACACUAUUAGAGACUGCUCAGCGAUGUUGAUCACCCUCCUAGUGAUGGCAAACAGACAGUUGUUCCACUGCCACAACAGCUUGAGAGUGAGAGCAGUAAAACAAAAGAAAGCUAACUGUAAAGAGAGAGAGGAGUAGCUAUGAUAAGAGAAGGUCUAUGAAGGCCAGGCCGUCUGAAGGCCUCUGCAGACCCUGUGCCAGCUGAUGAGGCCAUGCCGAAUGGUGCUGAAAUGGAACAAUUACAACUGUUCAAAAAUGCUCUCUGCUGUAAUUGAGACUCAAAUCCCUUUUUAGCCCCAAGACCCUUUCUCCCCUAAACCCCUCUCCUCAUUAUCCUCCUUUAGCCCUCCCUUCCAUCCCCUUUGUCCCUCUUCUUUCAUCUAGGCUGCCCCCUAUCCCCAUAACCCAAUAUGCCCCCGCCCCUCUACCACCCCCUACCAGCUACACACCAAAGGAGGGCCAGAUGGGGGGUGGGCUUUAGGCUGCCUCAAAUCAAGGAUCCCUUUUGGACCAUCUGCUCUCUCUCUUUCUCUGCCGUGAGGCUAUGAGACUCAUCACAGUGUUUCUGUAAGAGCUCACACUCAUCUUCUCAGCAGAUACUUCAGCUUUCUUGGAGGAGAUGGUCUCUGUUUCCCUCCCCACACUCCAGAAGGCCGUCACACACAGAGAUUGAAAGAACCCACUUCUCGCUCUCACACUGCAGCUAGUCGGGCAGCGCCACCGAGGCAGCAAAGCAUUGUGGUAGCACCCCCUGGUGGUGGCUCUUUGUCCUUGUUGAACCACAGAAGGAAUUUGCCUGCUCAUAAAUCCCACAAUUCUGUUGUGUUGUCAUGCUGUAUUGUCAUGGUCUGCUGCUCACCUUGUUGAUAUGCCUUUGUUAUGAAAGCCCAUUGAAACUUUGUUUCUCUCUUCCAGUCCUGUCGGAGACCACAGAUUCCUCAGAGGAGGAGUGGCAGUCUAUAGCUGAUCUAGCCACAGCAUGCCGCAGCAUCCUAGAAGCCUUGUCACGUGAAGCAGGAGAUGGGACCCAAGGAGCAGACUCCCUGACAGAUGGCAAGCUAAAGGACAUGAAGGACAGUGACUCACCCGGCCACCUGGAGGAGAAGGUGUCCCAGCUGGAGGACAUGCUGAAGAGGCUGCAGGACGACUUGCAAAAGGGUGAACAGAGGAGGUGAGAAGAUUGGCUGGAGGGACUUUGGGCAACCAUGCUCACUCUCUCAACACUAAGUGGCCAAUGGCAGUAGAGGCAAGUACAGCAUGAGAUUUUUCCUCUGUUGUUGCGUUGAGAACAAAAUAACAAUUGGAAAUGGAACUACUAAAAAACAGACCUGAGUUAAUUAACCCAAUAACCCAAAACGACCUGUGGGGUCCUUCAUGGAUGUGAACGAUGUAAGCAAAGUUCCUCCUCGCAAACCCUGAAGGUCUGACAGGCUGUCAGUCAUCCCUGUGUGCAGCCUCAGGACCUCAGCACCAUUUCUCCAUUCACAGGCUCUUCUCUGGGAAACAUGGGGACUUGGGGAUGGAUGACCUUUGAAGCCUUCAGAACUACUGAAUGACUAGCUGCUCUUGUAGUGUUGGUUACACAAUGUAGAGCAUCUGGAGAGGAAAGGAAGACUGAAACAAAUAGGAGAAAGGGUGAGAAAGAGUGAAAGAAGGAGAGAGAAAUGAAGAGGGUCUGGAAGCCUUCCAAGCAUCCUUAAACACAUUUGGGUGAGACAUGAAUCCUUUGUUACAGUAAUGAAGGUGUUUAAUCUCUGAGGUCAACUGAAACCCCAUGGUAUGCACGGUGCUAUAUCUCCAACGUAGUCCUUUUCACCACUCAAAUAUCAAAGAGACGCCACACUGCCAGUGUUUAAAACUGCCAUCCAACUAAGUGAAUGACAUUCUAAGGAUUUUAGUGCAAAUGCUAUUCGCUCAACUUCUUGAAACAUGUGAGACAUGAAGCACACAUACGAAUCAAACUCUGCAGAUAUUAUGGUUACAAUCCUGUGGCCAUAACACCAACAUAACCAAAGUCUUACCCUCUGUUUUCGUAACUCCCUACUCUUCCUCUGAACACUCACCUUUAACACAGUGUUAUCAUCAAUCUAGACAACACACAGACAUUAACAGUCAGGGACAAUGAACAAGGAAGGAAGAUGACCUAACAGGGACAUGCCACAUCAGAUGAUCCAUUUUCUCUGUUGUUUACCUUCUGCCCUGGUAGAGUGAGCAUGGUUGGUUAUGGGCUGUCCCAGUCCCAUAGUAUGUCCAGCAGAAACAAGUAGGAAUUAGCUGAGACUGUGGGAAUUGUGUUACCUCAGAGUAGCUGGUUAGGCUCCAUUCAGAAGUGUGAUGUGAAACAUGGACUACUUUUGGUUAUUCUUUGGUUUCUGUCUGCCUGCCAAGGCGGGAGGGUUGACGGUACUGGAGCUAGUGUAGUAUGGCCCAAUGAACACCCACCUGAUGUGGUGAUGAUCAUUGGUUACUUUGCUUUCUGGUGGACUCUCAUCUUUACAUUUAUUCAUUUUCCAAUUCUGAAGCUGAGUACUUGUUAUUUCAGGUGUAUUGACUUGCUCCAGGGCACAGUUGCAUUAUGGUCCACUAGGGAGUUGAACCAGCAAAGCCAUUCAGUACUGCGGCUACCAAAGAAAAUUCCUAUUGACCCAGAUUGAUGAUAACUGGUCUCAUCUAUCAUGAAUUGUUAUUGUCAACUAUCCGUAACCUGUCUCCUCCUCAUCCCACGACUCACUGACAUCACAUCACAUCAGACAGACAGAUGGACAGAGACGGACAGACAGACGGACAGACAGACGAGACAGAUUGACAGGGGUCAGUCUGGAUAGAACCCCCUCUCUGUGUAGAUAGUAAAAAAUAUCAACACCAUUACAUAAGGCGUGGGGAGGCAAUAUAAUUAAGCAAUAAGGUACGAGGGGGUGUGGUAAAUGGCCAAUAUACCACGGCAUAAGGCUGUUCUUAUGCAUGACGCAGUGCCUGGAUACACCCCUUGGCAGUGGUAUAUUGGCCAUAAACCACAAACCCCUGAGGUGCCUUAUUGCUAUUAUAAACUGUUUACCAACGUAAUUAGAGCAGUAAAAAUAAAUGUUUUGUCAUACCCGUGUCAGUUAAAGGUUUAGUGUUAAGGCAAUAAUGCUGUUGGUAACACUGGUUGUGCUGGUAGUGGCCCCUGUCUGUUUGUCUACCCUAAGCCUCCGAUUUCCUGUCUCUGUCACAACUCUUGAUACAGUUUGUGAAAUAGCAAACAGGAAGCAUUUACUAUGGCAAAUCACCGCUCUAAAAAUUGCAAUAGCUGAUUUCAAACUGAAUUCCAAGUAGUGAGAGAUUAGGGUGACCCCUGCUGUUUGGUUGAUGAGGAAUGCCAGACAUUUUGGAGCUUUCGUCUUUAUGGAAAUCUCACUUGUAUAACAAUCAGCUACAUUGGAAAUAAAAUAUUAUGCCAAUUCCUCUGCUCUCGUUUAAUGAGAGAUUGAUUUAUUAAUUGGUUGUUUGGUCUGGAACAAGUGGUUGCCAUAGUAAAUCUGUCUAAACAUUUCCUCCAUACUCCACUUCUCCCUAUGGAGUGCUUUUAUAGAAGGAAAUUGGUUUGUAUUUGCGUGUGUGAGUGCGUGUGUGUAUCUGGUGUGUGUGUGUGUGUGUGUAUACUUCUCUAGUACCCUGUCUUGCUUGCACUGCUACCACAAGGCAUGUAUGUGUAUGUUUGUGAACCUGUCUGUCUGCGCGUGCCUGCUAUCCAGCCCAGUCCAAGCCAGACCUCACCCACCUCCACCCACACCCAGAUCCCUCUCACCCCUCCAUCCAUCCCAGCCAUGGUGGUCUGACAGACGGGUGUUGUUGUGUGCCGCUCCCUGGCAGGAGAAGGAGGACAAGGCGGUGCUGCAGGCCGAGGUGCAGAGCCUCAGGCAGAAUAACCAGCGGCUGCAGGAGGAAUCCCAGAGCACCGU
rnacentral:lncRNA from 13 species